GCCAGUGUGGCUCAGUGGGUAGAGCGUCGGCCUGCGGACCGAAGGGUCCCGGGUUCGAAUCCGGCCAAGGGCA
rnacentral:tRNA from 1 species